UACGGGGGGGGCAAGCGUUGUUCGGAAUUACUGGGCGUAAAGGGCUCGUAGGCGGCCAACUAAGUCGGAUGUGAAAUCCCCAGGCUUAACCUGGGAACUGCAUCCGAUACUGGAUGGCUUGAAUCCGGGAGAGGGAUGCAGAAUUCCAGGUGUAGCGGUGAAAUGCGUAGAUAUCUGGAGGAAUACCGGUGGCGAAGGCGGCAUCCUGGACCGGCACUGACGCUGAGGUGCGAAAGCGUGGGGAGCAAACAGG
rnacentral:rRNA from 1 species